ensembl:lncRNA
AUGGAAGAAAAAUACCCAAUAGUGCUAAUCAGUCAGAAUUAUCUCCCUGAUCUGGCCUUCAGAUUAGGCUCAGUAUAUGUUCAAUAUGAUGUUUUCUUUCAUUCUUUCCCCUUUCUCAGGUACAUGGGACCGAUCAUUGGGAAUUAUGAGUUUCAAGCAAUCAGUGGCACACAAUGCAGUUCAUGCGGUGGUUGCCCUUCUGAUGGUAAUUCCAAAGCUAUUUCUCCUUCACGCCAUCUCCAUUUUUCUCAAGAGGUUGAAAGAGGGGAUUCAAGGAGCAGAAUCAGACCUGAAGCUCCAUUCAUAGAAAGAGAGCUCAACAUUCAUUUUGUAACUUUUAACUGGAUACUUCCAAGUUCCUUACAUUAUGAACAAAAUAUCAUUGUUCUUCUGUGCUUUCUCCUUAUUUAGAAAGUCACUAUUAAAACCUGUAACAUGAGGAUUUCUGCAUUAUUAACUGUUACUGAACAUUGACCACAUCCAAGUUUAUGGAGGCAAGUUGAUUGGAAAGAGAGCUCAACAUUCAUUCUGCCUCUGUAACUUUUAACUGGAUACUUCAAGUUCCUUACAUGAUGAACAAAAUAUCAUUGUUCUUCUGUGCCUUCUCCUUAUUUAGAAAGUCACUAUUAAAACCUGUAACAUGAGGAUUUCUGCAUUAUUAACUGUUACUGAACAUUGACCACAUCCAAGUUUAUUUAUUUAUUUAUUUAUUUACAAUAUUUUUUAGCCGCACCAUUGCCAAUGGCUUCUGGGCGGCGUACAACAUUAAAACCUAAAAACAUUAAAAACAUUUUAAGAAACAGUAUAAAAUACCAUAUAUUAAAAUAUUUCUUAAAACAAUUAAAACAUUAAAAGUAAUUAAUUAAGUUUAAUUAAGUUUAUGGAGGCAAGUUGAUUUCUACUCUUGUCUGUGGGGAUGACAGUCCAGCCCUAUGUGUCUAUGCAUGCAAGAAGCAGGCUGAACGGCAAGCAAGCAUCAUCGCUUGCCCUACAAGCAUCACCACCCAUAUUCACAGAUACCACAUCUGAAUAGUCCAGGGAAACUAUAAGUGGACCAUGCAGUACUGAAGAUGGUUUCCUCUCCUUUUCCAGGAACUAUUAUUUUCACAGAUUGAAGGGAAUACCCUACAGGCUUUAAAUGCAAAUACACAGCCUGGCGAAGCAACUAGAUGUAAGGAUGGAGGAGACACGCCAUCAGUCCAGAAUGCCUCCCCACAAGUGAGCAUAGCACACAAGAAAUAUUACUCUGGAAAUGAUCCCCAGAAAGUAAGAUCUAGGUAAAUGAUACGUGAAAGAUUCACUAGUCUAACAGUGCUGAGAGCCUGAUCGGAUAUUCUAUAAGUCCCCGUUCCACAACUACCAUUCUCUAGAUUCUAGUACUACAUAGACUCCCCAUUUGCAUUGGGAUAGA